UGGGCGGCAUAGCUGGGCGGCUGACUCAGUGCGCAGCGACCUGGCCGCGCCUGGCCCCCCGCGCACCUGGCGCACCUCGGCUCCGAGCUCCGACCCGCCGACCCGCGGGCCACUGCGAGGGCGCGUCCCGGGAUAGAGAUCGCCCCGGAGAGGAUGCCCGGGACCGCUCCCCCGCUCCUGCCAGCCGGUGGCCUCAGCGUUUCCCGAACUUGAGACUCACCUAAGGCGCUCGCUUUCCCAGGCUGCUCCCACUCAAGGUGCAUUCCGUGGGCCCCGGGGUCUGUUCACCACGCCCCGUGCCAACGAGUAAGCCGAGCCCAUUACAUAGGAUUCUCCUGCAAGUCAGCCCUGCAAGGAAGGGGUGACGAUCCCCUUUUUCUGAUGCAGUGUCCUGAUCUUUCCCCGGUACCUGUUGAUGGAAGUGGAGCCAUUAGGGAAAGCGGUGAACUUAUUAUGAAAAUGAGAUAAUUGGUGUCUGGGAUGUUCUGCCUAGUGACCUCUGUACCUGGCCCAUUCUCCUUGCUCUGCUCGUGUCUAUCUAACUGCCUACUACAGAUAGAGCAUGGACCCGCACACUGAAGGCUCUCGGGUUCGAUUCACAGUCAAGAGCACGUACCUGAGUUACAGAGCAUCUAGGGAAGGGAAGCGACCAUGGUGCCUGAGGCCAACUUUCAGGAGGCCGGUGGUGCUGGUCUUUUGGUGCCUGGCCCAUUCUCUGGA